rnacentral:rRNA from 1 species
AUUGAACGCUGGCGGCGUGCCUAACACAUGCAAGUCGAGCGGUAACAGGUGUAGCAAUACGUGCUGACGAGCGGCGGACGGGUGAGCAAUGCUUGGGAAUCUGCCUAUUAGUGGGGGACAACCCGGGGAAACUCGGGCUAAUACCGCAUACGCACCAUGGUGGAAAGCCGGGGACCGCAAGGCCUGGCGCUAAUAGAUGAGCCCAAGUCGGAUUAGCUAGUUGGNGAGGUAAUGGCUCACCAAGGCGACGAUCCGUAGCUGGUCUGAGAGGACGACCAGCCACACCGGAACUGAGACACGGCCCACACACCUACGGGUGGCAGCAGUUGGGAAUCUUGCACAAUGGGGAAACCCUGAUGCAGCGACGCCGCGUGGAGGAUGAAGGGUCUAGGCCUGUAAACUCCUUUUAUGGGAAGACUUAGGACGUACCCCAUGAAUAAGGACCGGCUAACUACGUGCCAGCCGCCGC